GGAGUUAGCCGGUGCUUCUUCUGUGAGUGAUGUCCUUCCUGCCGGUUAUUGACCCGCAGGCCUUCUUCCUCACUGAAAGUGCUUUACAACCCGAAGGCCUUCUUCACACACGCGGCAUGGCUGGAUCAGGGUUGCCCCCAUUGUCCAAUAUUCCCCACUGCUGCCUCCCGUAGGAGUCUGGGCCGUGUCUCAGUCCCAGUGUGGCUGAUCAUCCUCUCAGACCAGCUACGGAUCGUCGCCUUGGUGAGCCGUUACCUCACCAACCAGCUAAUCCGACAUAGGCUCAUCCGAUAGCGCGAGGCCCGAAGGUCCCCCGNUUUCCCCCGUAGGGCGUAUGCGGUAUUAGCCUGGGUUUCCCCCAGGGUUAUCCCCCACUACCGGGGCAGAUUCCUAUGCAUUACUCACCCGUCCGCCGCUCGCCACCAGGGAGCAAGCUCCCCGUGCUGCCGCUCGACUUGCAUGUGUUAGGCCUGCCGCCAGCGUUCAAUCUGAGCCAGUNACACACUCGACGNGAGCGGCGGUCGCGA
rnacentral:rRNA from 1 species